rnacentral:rRNA from 1 species
UACGUAGGGGGCAAGCGUUGUCCGGAAUUAUUGGGCGUAAAGAGCGUGUAGGCGGCUUUACAGGUCCGUUGUGAAAACUCGAGGCUCAACCUCGAGACGCCGGUGGAAACCGUAAGGCUAGAGUCCGGAAGAGGAGACUGGAAUUUACGGUGUAGCGGUGAAAUGCGUAGAUAUCGUAAGGAAGACCAGUGGCGAAGGCGGGUCUCUGGACAGUUCCUGACGCUGAGGCACGAAGGUCAGGGGAGCAAACAGG